rnacentral:rRNA from 1 species
UACGGAGGGGGCUAGCGUUGUUCGGAAUUACUGGGCGUAAAGCGCGCGUAGGCGGUCCUUCAAGUCGGGUGUGAAAGCCCGAGGCUCAACCUCGGAACUGCCUUCGAUACUGCGGGUCUUGAGUCCGGGAGAGGUGAGUGGAAUUCCUAGUGUAGAGGUGAAAUUCGUAGAUAUUAGGAAGAACACCAGUGGCGAAGGCGGCUCACUGGCCCGGUACUGACGCUGAGGCGCGAAAGCGUGGGGAGCAAACAGG